UGGUAAACAUUUAUUGAAUGUCCAUUACUUUGUCUUUUGAUGGUUUGGAUGAAAUAAUUGCUUGUUAGCUACAAUAUUAAUGGUAGUUUAGUGAUUGGAUUGUUUAGAGUUGAAUACUUUUAGUUAUGACCUAUUCAUCUUCUUACAAUAUAAUUAGGUUCAAGGUGCAAACUAUCAUAAAUUUGCACGUGAAAUAGCUUUAUGUGCCUGCCGUGAGUUCAAACCAAAGUAUUAGGUUAUAAAGAUUCAACAAAUAAAGAAAAGGGAGAAAUUGUAACAGUAAAGAUCGGAUUAAAAUUUACGUGAUUCACUAACAGUGUGUUAGAAAAUGUAAAUAUAGUAAAGAUCAAGCUCGAAAUUUACGUGAUUCACUAACAACGUGCUAGUUAUUUUCACAGAUUGAGGAAAAGAUCAACUUAUUAUCAAGAGAAAUAUUAGAUGAUAUACAGAUGACAGGAGUAACUCUAGGGUUAGAGAGUUUAUAUAUAGUGUACAUCUUUAAACCUUUGGGCCAAACUUGUAAUAAAUGCGUAUACCGACAAUAGAUGCAACGCAUUCCAACACAUAGGGUGUCCAUUCUCAUGACAUUUCAGCAUCACGUAGAAAGUUAUACGAUUAUCCUAUUGUUGGUCAUAAUGUUCAUGUGUGCAUUUGUCUUUUGAACACGGUUGAAACAAUUUGUUACCUUCAUUUUAUUCCUUAAUUUAACUUUAUGAAUUUGUCUUUUGAACAGUUGAAGAAGCGUUAGCACAUCCGUACCUAGAAAGAUUGCAUGACAUAGCUGAUGAGCCGGUUUGCUCAGAGCCAUUCUCGUUUGAGUUUGAGCAACAAUACUUAGACGAAGAACAGAUGAAGGAG
rnacentral:lncRNA from 1 species